rnacentral:rRNA from 1 species
GGGUGGAUGAGUGGCGAACGGGUGAGUAACACGUGAGUAACCUUCCCUUGACUCUGGGAUAAGCCCGGGAAACUGGGUCUAAUACCGGAUAUGACCUCCUGUCGCAUGGUGGGGGGUGGAAAGAUUUAUCGGUCUUGGAUGGACUCGCGGCCUAUCAGCUUGUUGGUGAGGUAAUGGCUCACCAAGGCGACGACGGGUAGCCGGCCUGAGAGGGUGACCGGCCACACUGGGACUGAGACACGGCCCAGACUCCUACGGGAGGCAGCAGUGGGGAAUAUUGCACAAUGGGCGCAAGCCUGAUGCAGCGACGCCGCGUGAGGGAUGACGGCCUUCGGGUUGUAAACCUCUUUCAGUAGGGAAGAAGCCUUCGGGUGACGGUACCUGCAGAAGAAGCGCCGGCUAACUACGUGCCAGCAGCCGCGGUAAUACGUAGGGCGCGAGCGUUAUCCGGAAUUAUUGGGCGUAAAGAGCUCGUAGGCGGUUUGUCGCGUCUGCCGUGAAAGUCCGGGGCUUAACCCCGGAUCUGCGGUGGGUACGGGCAGACUAGAGUGCAGUAGGGGAGACCGGAAUUCCUGGUGUAGCGGUGAAAUGCGCAGAUAUCAGGAGGAACACCGAUGGCGAAGGCAGGUCUCUGGGCUGUUACUGACGCUGAGGAGCGAAAGCAUGGGGAGCGAACAGGAUUAGAUACCCUGGUAGUCCAUGCCGUAAACGUUGGGCACUAGGUGUGGGGGACAUUCCACGUUUUCCGCGCCGCAGCUAACGCAUUAAGUGCCCCGCCUGGGGAGUAC